GGUGGGUGCUGCCGGUGCAUCGCGCUGAUCCGAGCCAGGAUCCAGGUGCUUCUCCUGGUCUCCCAUGCAGGUGCAGGGCCCAAGCACUUGGGCCAUCCUCCCCUGCCUUCCUGGGCCACAGCAGAGAGCUGGCCUGGAAGAGGGGCAACCGGGACAGAAUCCGGCGCCCUGACCGGGACUAGAACUGGGGUGCCGGCGCCACUAGGCGGAGGAUUAGCCUGGUGAGCCGCGGUGCCAGCCCCUCCCUUUCUUCUUAAUCUUCUCCGCGGUAUUCUUGCACUUCCUCUUCACGGUGAAUGUAGAAUCCAUUCGUCAAGGUCCCUAACCCUGUGCGGAGACUUUGGUGGGUGCUGCACUGUGUGUGGGUUAGAAUGGGGGAAGGUGGCCGCACAAGGGCAGGCUCCCGGUGUGGGGAGGCAGCGGGGUCCUCCGCUGGGGUGGCGUGGGGGCGACCUGCAGGGGGCGGCACCUCACAAGGUCCUGCAGCUCACUGGGCUCUCUUGCCCGCAGCUGGGAUUCAGACCUGGGACACUCCUGAUCCAGGCCUGGCAGGGGCCGGCCCCUUCCAGGGGAGCUUUGAGAAGCGGGUCUGACCCACCACCUGAACGUGCCAGUCAGCAAGGUCCGGGGCCUGGUCAGUUGCCUGGGCAGCUACUGCUGAGGACACAGGAACACGGCCUCUCCCCCACCCCGCAGGAGCUCCUCACAUCCAAUUCACCAGGAAGCCCUGAGGACACGGACCGGGAUCCAGAGCCGAAAUCCAAUUAAGCGGGACUGGGGCUGUGGCUGCCUCUCUGUCCACUUCCUGGUUCAGCAACAGGAUGGGGGAAGGAAGUAAGAAGGGAAGGAGAGAGAAGGAGGACAAGAGAGCGAGAGCGAGAGCGAGAUCUUCCGUUCACGGAUUUAUUCUCCAAAGGCCUGAAGCACCUGAGACUGACCGGGUCAAAACCAGGGCUCCAGCACAGGUGGCAGGGACCCGAGGACUUGGGCCACCAUUUGCUAAGGUAGAUUGUAAACGUUUGCUUGUUUUCAUUUUAUUUGAAAGGCAAAGAGACUGAGACAGAGAGAGAACUUCCAUCCGCUGCUUCACUCUCCAAAUGCCUGCAACAACUGGGGCGGCUAAGCUGAAGCCAGGAGCCAGAAACUCAGCCUGGGGCUCCUGUGUGGGAGUACCCGAGUACCUGAGCACUCCCACGUGGGAUCACCCGAGUACCCGAGUACUCCCACGUGGGAGUGCCUGAUGCCCGAGUACUCCCAUGUGGGACUGCCUGAGUACCCGAGUACUCCCACGUGGGCGUGCCUGAUGCCCGAGCACUCCCAUGUGGGAGUGCCUGAGUACCCGAGUACCCCCAUGUGGGAUCACCCGAGUACCCGAGUACCCCCAUGUGGGAUCACCCAAGUACCUAAGUACUCCCAUGUGGGAGUGCCUGAUGCCUGAGUACUCCCAUGUGGGAGUGCCUGAGUAUGGCUCAGGUACUUGAGCCAUCACCUGCUACUUCCCAAGGUGCUCAUUAGCCGGAAGCUGGAAUUGGAAGUGGAGCUGGCACUCGUGCCCAGGAACUCCGAUCCGGCAUGUGGGUGCCCCAAGUGGCGUCCUGGCCUCUGUGCUAAACGCCUUCUCUGAGCGCUUGCAGAUGAGGGGGAUCACGGGCAGGGGCUCGCCAGGGGAGCGGAAGUGCUGAACAAGUGCCGGUUGCUGCAGGAGCGCCCGCUCUUUCAGCUGCAGGGCGACUUGAGGACACAGCAACAUCUCUGAGCCUCAGGUUAUCCACCUACAGAAUGGGUAGAAUAGUUCCUAAUUUUGUUCC
ensembl:lncRNA